rnacentral:antisense_RNA from 1 species
CUCUGCCUCCUGAACAACCCUGAUGCUUCCCUGUGUGGUCCCUUGUGGCACAGAGUGCCCCCUCUUCUCAGGAACUAUGGUGAUGGCCAGGGUGCACAAGACCCCGGUGAAGGAUGGGAAAAAGAGCAAGAAGAUGAAGAAAGUCAUCAUCUGUGAGGCCCGCCAGGCUUUGCUCGGAGGCUGGAAAUUCAUCAUCAGGCUGAUCUGAAGAGAGAGAGGCAGCCACCUCCCAUCUGCAGCCGGAGCAGCGGCAGAGGGACCCCAGCCAGGCCUGGCUUCCUGACACCUUUGCAGAGCCCCCUUCCCCAGCUUUAAGCGCCACCAGGUCACAGGCGACUGAACAAAGCUGAUUGAUGGCAACGUCAGACUGACUCACAUUUUUGGAGUAGAACAUGAUGAAAAGCAUAAUCAUUUGGAUAAAGGGCAACAGGGGGCAGAAGAAGAUUCCAAUCCUGUGAGGGAGAGAGGUAGAGACGGGAUUUCACCACGUUAGCCAGGAUGGUCUCGAUCUCCUGACCUCGUGAUCCACCCGCCUCGGCCUCCCAAAGUGCUGGGAUUACAGGCGUGAGCCACCACACCCAGCUAAUGUGUGUCACUUCUAAUCUGGAGCACUUAAUGCCCCUGUGAGACUCU